rnacentral:misc_RNA from 1 species
GUAGGCCGGGUGCGCUGAAAGGUGCACGCCCGGCGUGAGGUGGGGGAAAAUCCGGAGAUUGCUUCAAAGGAUUACCUAUCACCAU